AACGAACGCUGGCGGCAUGCCUAACACAUGCAAGUCGAACGAGACCUUCGGGUCUAGUGGCGCACGGGUGCGUAACGCGUGGGAACCUGCCCUUAGGUUCGGAAUAACUCCCCGAAAGGGGUGCUAAUACCGGAUAAUGUCUUCGGACCAAAGAUUUAUCGCCUUUGGAUGGGCCCGCGUUGGAUUAGCUAGUUGGUAGGGUAAAAGCCUAUCAAGGCGACGAUCCAUAGCUGGUCUGAGAGGAUGAUCAGCCACACUGGGACUGAGACACGGCCCAGACUCCUACGGGAGGCAGCAGUGGGGAAUAUUGGACAAUGGGCGAAAGCCUGAUCCAGCAAUGCCGCGUGAGUGAUGAAGGCCUUAGGGUUAUAAAGCUCUUUUACCCGGGAUGAUAAUGACAGUACCGGGAGAAUAAGCUCCGGCUAACUCCGUG
rnacentral:rRNA from 1 species